GAACGCACAUUGCGCUUCCUGGUAUUCCGGGGAGCAUGCUCGUUUCAGAAUCAUUAAAACUUUCAAUUGUGUUUUUGUGGCUUCGGCUCAGAAAUAUUGAUUGCAUGUGAGCGUUUCCUUUGUCAGCUUUGUUGACAAUCACUUUAAAAUGAUUGUGUGCGUCAUAUAGUCUGGUGGUUGUGUGUGAAAGUCACCUUUUACACGCAACCCAACUACAACUUACAGAUGACUCUCAGUGCAACAGCAAUGAAUCACUUUGAACUCAUCCGUAGCUGCAGGCAACUUGACACAUCUUCCAAACCACGAGACCGUAGCGCGUUUUACGCAUUAUGGUCUUGAUAACUUGGUCUGAAAUCGAGCAAGAAAACCCGCUGAACUUAAG
rnacentral:misc_RNA from 1 species